rnacentral:rRNA from 2 species
AUUGAACGCUGGCGGCAGGCCUAACACAUGCAAGUCGAGCGGCAACGAAAAGUAGCUUAUGUUACUUUGUCGGCAAGCGGCGAACGGGUGAGUAAAAUCUGGGGAUCUGCCUAAUGAAGGGGGAUAACUACUGGAAACGGUAGCUAAUACCGCAUGAUGUCAAAAGACCAAAGUGGGGGAUUUUUUCACAAAAACCUCACGUCAUUAGAUGAACCCAGAUGAGAUUAGCUAGUAGGUGAGGUAAUGGCUCACCUAGGUUACGAUCUCUAGCUGGUCUGAGAGGAUGACCAGCCACACUGGAACUGAGACACGGUCCAGACUCCUACGGGAGGCAGCAGUGGGGAAUAUUGCACAAUGGGCGGAAGCCUGAUGCAGCCAUGCCGCGUGUGUGAAGAAGGCCUUAGGGUUGUAAAGCACUUUCAACAAGGAGGAAGAUAAUAAAUUUAAUACAUUUAUUAUUUGACAUUACUUGUAGAAGAAGCACCGGCUAACUCCGUGCCAGCAGCCGCGGUAAUACGGAGGGUGCAAGCGUUAAUCGGAAUUACUGGGCGUAAAGGGCAUGUAGGCGAUUAUUUAAGUCAGAUGUGAAAUACCUAAGCUUAACUUAGGAACUGCAUUUGAUACUAAUUAAUUAGAGUAUUGUAGAGGGGGGUAGAAUUCCAGGUGUAGCGGUGGAAUGCGUAGAUAUCUGGAGGAAUACCAGUGGCGAAGGCGGCCCCCUGGACAAAUACUGACGCUGAGGUGCGAAAGCGUGGGUAGCAAACAGGAUUAGAUACCCUGGUAGUCCACGCUGUAAACGAUGUCGAUUUGAAAGUUGUAGUCUUGAACUGUGAUUUUCGUAGCUAACGCGUUAAAUCGACCGCCUGGGGAGUACGGCCGCAAGGUUAAAACUCAAAUGAAUUGACGGGGGCCCGCACAAGCGGUGGAGCAUGUGGUUUAAUUCGAUGCAACGCGAAGAACCUUACCUACUCUUGACAUCCACAGAAUUUAGCAGAGAUGCUUAAGUGCCUUAGGGAACUGUGAGACAGGUGCUGCAUGGCUGUCGUCAGCUCGUGUUGUGAAAUGUUGGGUUAAGUCCCGCAACGAGCGCAACCCUUGUUCUUUGUUACCAGCACGUUAAGGUGGGAACUCAAAGGAGACUGCCGGUGAUAAACCGGAGGAAGGUGGGGAUGACGUCAAGUCAUCAUGGCCCUUACGAGUAGGGCUACACACGUGCUACAAUGGCUAAUACAAAGUGAAGCAAACUUGUGAAAGUAAGCAGAUCACCUAAAGUUAGUCGUAGUUCGGAUUGGAGUCUGCAACUCGACUCCAUGAAGUCGGAAUCGCUAGUAAUCGUAUAUCAGAAUGUUACGGUGAAUACGUUCCCGGGCCUUGUACACACCGCCCGUCACACCAUGGAAGUGAGUUGCAAAAGAAGUAAGUAGCUUAACCUACUGGAGGGCGCUUACCACUUUGUGGUUCAUAACUGGGGUG